UAAAUAACCGCCAUACGAGCCGGGAAGCCGUUUGCUCCCACAGGGUACAUGUAUCUGUGCAUUAUUAUGUAAUUCAGGUGAGGGGUGUUCAGAGAGGUCAGUAGAAGAUGGAGGAGACAGAUAUUCAGGAGAGGAAACGCAUUUGCCAAUGAGGAAGUGAUGGGCUUAUUUUGGCUGCCAAAAGGUCUGAACUGGACAUCCGUCUUCAGCAGUGUAAAACUAUUGAGCAGGGACUCCCAACUACUGCGUUUCCGGGAAAUAGGAUACAUGCUCCAUGAAAGAUCUAGGCUUCAGAUCCAGACUGCCAUGUUGCCGGCAGACUUGGUUGUCCAGCCAGGGUUCUGGCAAAUUCAGCUGUCCUGCCAUUCUGAUGGGUGACUCGGCUGUCCUACCAUGAAGCUGACAGACUGGGUUGUCCUGCCAUGUUCUGGCAGUCUCAGUUGUCUUGCCAUGUAGCUGGCAGUCUCAGUUGUCCUGCCAGAGUUUUGGCAGACUCGGCUAUCCUGCCAUUCUAAUGGCAGUGUUGGCUGUCCUGCCAUGAAACUGGCAGUCUAGAUUGUCCUGCCAUGUUGUGGCAGUCUCGGUUGUCCUGCCAUGUUCUGGCAGUCUCAGUUGUCUUGCCAUGUAGCU